AAUCUACCUAGAGGUGGGGGAUAGCCCCGGGAAACCGGGGGUAAUACCGCAUGAGUCCUCGAUGACACAAGUCGACGAGGGGAAAGGCGGGGAUCCUUCGGGACCUGUCGCCUCCGGAUGAGCCCGCGUCCGAUUAGCUUGUUGGUGGGGUAAUGGCCUACCAAGGCGACGAUCGGUAGCCGGCCUGAGAGGGCGAACGGCCACAUUGGGACUGAGACACGGCCCAGACUCCUACGGGAGGCAGCAGUGGGGAAUUUUGGGCAAUGGGGGAAACCCUGACCCAGCGACGCCGCGUGGAGGAUGACGGCCUUCGGGUUGUAAACUCCUGUCAGGUGGGAAGAAGAGCUUGUCGGUUAAUACCCGGCAGGAAUUGACGGUACCACCAAAGGAAGCCCCGGCUAACUCCGUGCCAGCAGCCGCGGUAAUACGGAGGGGGCAAGCGUUAUUCGGAUUUACUGGGCGUAAAGCGCACGUAGGUGGCAUGGUAAGUCAAAGGUGAAAGCCCUCGGCUCAACCGAGGAAUUGCCUUUGAAACUGCUUUGCUUGAGUCCGGGAGGGGGGAGCGGAAUUCCCAGUGUAGCGGUGAAAAUGCGUAGAUACUGGG
rnacentral:rRNA from 1 species